ACGGGAGGCAGCAGUAGGGAAUAUUGGACAAUGGGUGAAAGCCUGAUCCAGCCAUGCCGCGUGCAGGAAGAAGGCCUUCUGGGUUGUAAACUGCUUUUGCCAGGGGAUAAAAAGCCCAUGCGUGGGAAAUUGAAGGUACCUGGUGAAUAAGCCACGGCUAACUACGUGCCAGCAGCCGCGGUAAUACGUAGGUGGCAAGCGUUGUCCGGAUUUAUUGGGUUUAAAGGGUGCGUAGGCGGUCUUAUAAGUCAGUGCUGAAAUAUCCCGGCUUAACCGGGAGGGUGGCAUUGAUACUGUAGGACUUGAGUAAAGUUGAGGUUGGCGGAAUUGACGGUGUAGCGGUGAAAUGCUUAGAUAUCGUCAAGAACACCGAUAGUGUAGACAGCUAACUAAGCUUUAACUGACGCUGAGGCACGAAAGUGUGGGGAUCAAACAGGAUUAGAUACCCUGGUA
rnacentral:rRNA from 1 species